AUUGGACGCUGGCGGCAGGCUUAACACAUGCAAGUCGAGCGGAGCGAGGGUGCUUGCACCUUAGCUUAGCGGCGGACGGGUGAGUAAUGCUUAGGAAUCUGCCUAUUAGUGGGGGACAACAUUCCGAAAGGAAUGCUGAUACCGCAUACGCCCUACGGGGGAAAGCAGGGGAUCUUCGGACCUUGCGCUCAGAGAUGAGCCUAAGUCGGAUUCGCUAGCGGGUGGGGGAAAGGCCUACCAAGGCGACGAUCUGUAGCGGGUCUGAGAGGAUGCGCCGCCACCGUGGCACCGAGACACGGCCCGGACUCCUACGGGAGGCAGCAGGUGGGAAUAUUGGACAAUGGGCGGAAGCCUGAUCCAGCCAUGCCGCGUGUGUGAAGAAGGCCUUUUGGUUGUAAAGCACUUUAAGCGAGGAGGAGGCUACCAGUACUAAUACUACUGGAUAGUGGACGUUACUCGCAGAAUAAGCACCGGCUAACUCUGUGCCAGCAGCCGCCGUAAAAC
rnacentral:rRNA from 1 species